rnacentral:lncRNA from 1 species
UUGGGUUAUGAGGUUAUUGAUAAACAAAGCUCAUGAUGUGAGAAGCAUGAUCAUGGAAUCAAAAUUUCAACCAUUUGAUUCAUGCGAGUGAGAAAGAGAUAAUGGUUAUAGUUGGCCUAGGAUUGCAGCCUCGAAAAAGAUGAAGCAAUAUAGGGUCUAAGAUCCAGCAUUGCGGUGGCCGAAACUAAUCGGAGAAAGCAAAAUCAAACCAAUUCUUGCAGACCUUUCUCUCAAUUUUCCAAUGUUGUUUUGGUAGCUCUCAACAUUGAUGCUAUAACUGGAUAUCGCCAGGGGAGGAGGAUGGUCUGCCACACGUCAGCUAAAGGUUGUGGUGGCUAAAGAAAGAAGAGGAAGAAGGGACAGAGGGAGAGGAUAAAAGAAAAACUAUGCCAGGAGGAGAUGCGCGGACUGUAAUAGGUAAUCUAAUUGGUUUAUUUUUCUCUGUAUUUAGUUCUCCUUGCAAAUCGAUAGUUUAGACUAUAAUUUAAUGUGAUUCAAGCUCUAAAGUUGGAGAAUCAUCUUCCCAGUCGUUGUAGGCUUUCAAUAUAUUAUAAUAAUGAAGUAUGAUUCGAGAGAAUAUUUGAAGUGGGUAGAAAUGUACAAAAAGAUAAGCUUCAUAGACAGAGCUGAACAUGCCUGUAUGAAUACAAUAUUAAAGUUUAAAGGCAUGGUAUCACAUUGAAUCUAGAUAUACAUAUUAAUAACCAUUUAGCACAUGGUGUCAGUUGACAGCAAUGGGUCACAGCAGCCAUUGGUCAAUGGCUCAGUAAAACAUGUUGUAAAAUGAACUCAUAAACUGAACAGCUAACAUGGGAAGGCUUUGAUUGAGUAGAUUUUCCAAGUAUGAACUAUCUAUAUAGAGAAUCGAAUAUUGCAUAAGCGAUUCAAAAGCUAGGCUCUAAAUUCUAGAAGCUCAUAUGCGUAUAUGAGAUAUAGACUUGUUUAGCAUGUUUCAUGUCUAUUUUAGAUAGUGUGAUUAUUGGGAAUUUGCUUCUGUCUUCUUCUUUUGGAAUUGUUUACUUUUAGCUCUGUUUGAGCAUUUGAGUUGGGCUUGUGAAUUGGGUACCAUUGACAGUGGAUUUCAGAGAAGUAUCCUUUGCUAACCGUGAGGUGAUGAUUUCAUAAAGCCAAAAUUUUGCUAACUUGAUCCAUUAAACAGCUGGAUUCAGACUUUUAUCAUCCUUCAUAUAGAUAUAUGAUUGAUUUUUAAUAGGCAAAAGGUUAAAAUAUGGCCUUCAACUUUUUGCCAAUCUCAAUUAAACUGAGAACGGUUUUCUCUCUAUGUCUAGGGAUUUUCUGAGAAGUUUUGUCUUAUGUCUUUCUGGAGUAAUUGGUCUUUUUACCUUUUUUGGAAGGUGCAAAGAGAACACUCCCUCCGCUCGACUAUAGAUUUACCUUUCCCUCUAUUAAUUGGAGAGGUAGAUACUGUUAGGUUUGUUUUUUACAACAACAGCCUUCUUUGUUGGAGACUUCUUUAGUUGCUAAUUGUUGUUAUCUUUCUUUUCUUUGUGUAUUAAUUCUUGUUAUUUGUAGAUUCGGAGACUCCUUAGAUUUUGGAGAUAGGUGGCGUGUAGAGGGCCAACUUUAUUUGUAUAGGUGUAGUUUUUCUCCCUUGACCCAUAUGGUGAUAGUAGUGUGGCUGAGGGUGAUCACCUCUUUUGAAAUACUCACAUUUCUCUGUGUUUGUCGACGUGAUUGCAUGUGUUAUUCUUUUAUUCUUCUACUUUGUUUGUCUUUCUCUUUGGAUGUUGUUGUUGGUUUGCAGUUUUUUCCUUUUGUUCUUCAUACAUCUUUAUAGCCUUAUGGUUGUUAAGGAGAAAACUUUUUAUUUCCCGUUUUGACUACAUUAUCGAUGAAGGUGGCUUUUCUAGAGUUAAGUUAUAUAUUUUAGAGACUUUUUGUAUUAAGUCUAAACAAAAAUCAUUUACAAACUAAAAUAAAUAAAUUGUUUUUCAGAACUCACAUGAACGAAGAGGCGUAGAUUCAAGAGGGCAA